GUCAUGUCAUAUGUGAGAAGGAAGUUCAGGGUUUUUCUUCUUGUUGUUUACUUUAGUCAAAGUAACACCUCUGUACUCACAACUACGAUGAGAACUGUGCCAUAAAAGUCAGAAAUUGUCGAAGGAGCUCAAUCACAAACCUCACGGAGCUGAAGAAUGAUGGAGAGCGCUGACGUUAAAGUGAAAGUAAUUAAGAGACAAAGCAAAGACUAUGCUACUAACUCAGUCCUGUGGCCUGUCUUUCUUCAGCGCUGAGGACGUAUCCCUGCCAAUAAGAGAAGCCGGUGUUUUAGAUGACGCUGAUAUAUUUUAUGCACAGCAAAAUUCAAUGCCAAACACACGCCGUCGCCAAAAACAGAAGACAGUACGUUAGAUGACAUAAGAUUCAAAUGCUGGUGUCAUGGUGAAUGCCUCUGAAUAUCUCAUGUCCUCUGUGUCACAGAAUGAAUACGACGGGAGGUUUUACCAAACCAGAGAGCAGAGAGAUGCAGUUCAGGAUUGGAUGAGACGCCACCUGAUAAGUCAUCUGGAAGAAACUCUGUGAGCUCCAUCCAAUCAUUUGACUCAGGGUACGAUUCAAAGAGGUGCACGCGCUUUUUAUCCAUCUCUGAAUUUGAUGAAUAAACAAGCAUAAUCAUUUAUGAACGGCGGUGACCGGCCAUGAAUUGGUUUGUGAUUCAGUCAGUUACACAGUUACUGAAAUAUUCAAAACAGUUUCUUAAUCAAUAAACAGCAGCAAAGUGCAUUACUCUAAACAGAUUAGAAAUGAUAUCCAUUUAUGAAUAAAUAUCCCUGAUGUUUUUCUGUACUAAUGGUCAGCUAAGCACUGGGGACAUAUUGUCAUUUAUUAUUAUAACAUUUUGCUGUGUGAUGUUCAUGCAGCAGACUGAAAAGGAAUAUACUGCUAUGACAAAUAUCUAAAAAAAGUGCAUACAGGCAUCUAAAGUGAAACAAUAUAGACCACGCUGCAUGUCACACACAAAUACCCUUUCGUUGUAAAGAACUGAUGUGCUAGAAAAGUAUCUGAUGUAACUUAUUGAUUGUUUUUCUUUAAUGUAUGUUUUGUCCACUCAGCGUCCAAUCAUGUGUUUUUGAACAGCUUGUGUAUUUUACUGUAUAAAAAUGAAAUGCAUAUUUAAUGCAUGCCUAAGUUUGACUAAAUUAUUUUCGGUGUGAAAGUCAUUGACUAUAGUGUAAAAAAAUAAACACUAUAAACUAAA